UGCAGUCGAACGAGGUAGCAAUACCUAGUGGCGGACGGGUGAGUAACGCGUAGGUAACCUGCCUCAUAGUGGGGGAUACCCAGCCGAAAGGUUGGCUAAUACCGCAUAAGUUGGCUGUCUGAGAUGGCAGUCAGGAAAGAUUUAUCGCUAUGAGAGGGGCCUGCGUCCGAUUAGCUAGUUGGUGGGGUAACGGCUCACCAAGGCGACGAUCGGUAGCUGGUCUGAGAGGACGAUCAGCCACACUGGAACUGAGACACGGUCCAGACUCCUACGGGAGGCAGCAGUGGGGAAUUUUCCGCAAUGGGCGAAAGCCUGACGGAGCAACGCCGCGUGGAUGAUGAAGUCUUUCGGGACGUAAAAUCCUUUCAGCAGGGACGAAGCGAGUGACGGUACCUGCAGAAGAAGCAUCGGCUAACUACGUGCCAGCAGCCGCGGUAAUACGUAGGAUGCGAGCGUUGUCCGGAAUUAUUGGGCGUAAAGAGAACGUAGGCGGCCGUCUAAGUUCGGUCUUAAAGACCGGGGCUCAACCCCGGGAAUGGACUGAAGACUGGGCGGCUGGAGGAUGUCAGAGGAAGGUGGAAUUCCCAGUGUAGCGGUGAAAUGCGUAGAUAUUGGGAGGAACACCUGUGGCGAAAGCGGCCUUCUGGGGCAUUCCUGACGCUGAGGUUCGAAAGCUCGGGGAGCAAACAGGAUUAGAUAC
rnacentral:rRNA from 1 species